rnacentral:rRNA from 1 species
UGGAGGAAAGCAGGGGAUCGUAAGACCUUGCGCUUUUGGAGCGGCCGAUGUCUGAUUAGCUAGUUGGUGGGGUAAUGGCCUACCAAAGCUUCGAUCAGUAGCUGGUCUGAGAGGACGGCCAGCCACACUGGGACUGAGACACGGCCCAGACUCCUACGGGAGGCAGCAGUGGGGAAUUUUGGACAAUGGGCGCAAGCCUGAUCCAGCAAUGCCGCGUGAGUGAAGAAGGCCUUCGGGUUGUAAAGCUCUUUCAGUCGAGAAGAAAAGGUCGCGACUAAUAAUCGCGACUCAUGACGGUAUCGACAGAAGAAGCACCGGCUAACUACGUGCCAGCAGCCGCGGUAAUACGUAGGGUGCGAGCGUUAAUCGGAAUUACUGGGCGUAAAGGGUGCGCAGGCGGCUUUGUAAGUCAGAUGUGA